GACAGAGGUCUCAAGCGUUGUUCGGAUUCAUUGGGCGUAAAGGGUGCGUAGGCGGCCCUGUAAGUCCGUUGUGAAAGUCAAAGGCUCAACCUUUGAAAGCCGAUGGAUACUGCAGGGCUAGAGUCCGGAAGAGGCGAGUGGAAUUCCUGGUGUAGCGGUGGAAUGCGCAGAUAUCAGGAGGAACACCAAUAGCGAAGGCAGCUCGCUGGGACGGUACUGACGCUAAGGCGCGAAAGCGUGGGGAGCGAACAGG
rnacentral:rRNA from 1 species